rnacentral:lncRNA from 1 species
CUCAAACCAUCUAAAACGUCGCAUGAACCAUUGCCACUUGCCCAAUAUGUCAGAAAAUUUUCUGCUUUUGCAGUUUUUUCCGGGCUUUGUUUUCAGAUUUAGGAUUGCUAGCCUCAGUCAUGGCUGCGGCAGGGGAAGAAUCCAUCAGACUGGCAGCGAUUGCAGCCUUCAAGUUCUCAUCUUCCAUAUCCAAAAGCAUUUGCCUAUCUGUUUCAUCCAACUGAUCUGGAUGCUGUUGAGUAUUGUUUCUUUCUGGAGGAGCUUGUAUUAAGUUGGAUGAUCACGUGAUCCGGCUCGGUUGAAUGAGUCGAGUCUACGUUAGUUGCCCG